AGGGCGCAUGGUGGAUGCCUAGGCUCUCAGAGGCGAAGAAGGACGUGAUAAGCUGCGAAAAUCUGUGGUAAGGUGCAAAUAACCGUUGAGCUACAGGUAUCCGAAUGGGACAACCCACCUGACAAAGGUCAGGUAUCAUCGCUUUAGCGGUGAGGCAAACCCGGGGAACUGAAACAUCUAAGUAUCCGGAGGAAAAUAAAACAAUAGUGAUUUCCUGAGUAGUGGCGAUCGAAAGGGAAACAGCCCAAACCCGAUUUGUUUCGGCGAGUCGGGGGUUGUAGGAGUUCGUGAGAAGGUUAUUUAUUUAAUAGAGAAGCAUCUGGAAAGUUGCACCAUAGUAAGUGAUAGUCUUGUAUCUAUUAGAUAGGUGAUUAGCGAGCCACCUGAGUAUGGCGGGACACGAGUAAUCCUGUCAGAAUUAGCCGGGACCAUCCGGUAAGGCUAAAUACUCCUGAGAGACCGAUAGUGAACAAGUACCGUGAGGGAAAGGUGAAAAGUACCCCUAUAAGGGGAGUGAAAAAGAACCUGAAACCGUGCGCUUACAAUCGGUAGGAGCAGCGGAUAAUCUUUUAUCCAUCAGCUGUGACUGCGUGCCUUUUGCAUAAUGAGCCUACGAGUUAACAAUAUUAGCAAGGCUAAGGGCUUUGAAGUCUGUACCCGUAGCGAAAGCGAGUCUUAACAGGGCGUUAAAGUUAUUAUUGUUAGACGCGAAACUUAGUGAUCUAUCCAUGUCCAGGUUGAAGCUCUGCUAAACCAGCGUGGAGGACCGAACCAAUAUACGUUGAAAAGUAUUUGGAUGAGAUGUGGAUAGGGGUGAAAGGCCAAUCAAACUAAGAGAUAUCUCGUACUCCCCGAAAUGCAUUUAGGUGCAGCCUCAUAUUUAGUAUAGUAGAGGUAGAGCUACUGAUAGGGUUAGAGGGCUUCACCGCCUAUCACCCCCUGAUAAACUCCGAAUGCUACUAUAUAUUUAUGGGAGUGAGCCGCAGGGUGCUAAGGUCCUGCGACGAGAGGGAAAGAACCCGGACCAUCAGCUAAGGUCCCCAAUUAUGUUUUAAGUUGCAAGAACGAGGUGUGAUUGCAUUGACAGCUAGGAUGUUGGCUUGGAAGCAGCCAUUCAUUUAAAGAGUGCGUAACAGCUCACUGGUCGAGCGAUUGUGCGUGGAUGAUAAUCGGGCAUUAAAGACAUAACCGAAGCUGUGGAAUAUUUAUUUAUAAUAGGUAUUGGUAGGGGAGCAUUCCGGUCAGCGUAGAAUGAGAAUUGUAAAGUUUUCUGGAGCGUCCGGAAAAGCAAAUGUAGGCAUAAGUAACGAUAAUGCAGGCGAGAAACCUGCACACCGAAAGACUAAGGUUUCCGGGUCAAUGCUAUUCAGAUUCGGGUUAGUCGGGUCCUAAGGUUAAGCCGAGAGGCGAUAUCGAUGGGAAACGGAUUAAUAUUUCCGUACCUGUCUGUACUGCGAUGGGGUGACGAAAGAGUGAAAGAGUUGCGUACUGACGGAAUAGUACGUUAAAGGAGGUAGAUAUAAUGAUAGUAGGCAAAUCCGCUAUUAUUGUCGAGUCUGACAGUACCUCAAUCUCGUUAGAGAGCGAGGAUAAACUUGUAAACAUAUUUCCGAGAAAAACCUCUAAGCAUCAGGUAUAGACAGCUCGUACCGCAAACCGACACAGGUAGUCGGGUAGAGUAUACUAAGGUGUUCGAGAGAUUCAUGGCUAAGGAACUAGGCAAAAUAGGCCUGUAACUUCGGGAUAAAGGUCGCUCACGUACAGUGAGUCGCAGUGAAUACGUCCAGGCGACUGUUUACCAAAAACAUAGGGCUUUGCGAAAUCGCAAGAUGAAGAAUAAGGCCUGACGCCUGCCCGGUGCCGGAAGGUUAAGAGGGUGAGUUAUUACGUUAGUAAACGGCGGCCGUAACUAUAACGGUCCUAAGGUAGCGAAAUUCCUUGUCGGGUAAGUUCCGACCUGCACGAAUGGUGUAACGAUCUGGACACUGUCUCAGCCAUGAGCUCGGUGAAAUUGUAGUACCGGUGAAGAUGCCGGUUACCCGCAACGGGACGGAAAGACCCCGUGAACCUUUACUGCAGCUUAACAUUGGUUUUGGUCAAGUGAUGUGUAGGAUAGGUGGGAGGCGUUGAUGCUGGUUCGCAAGGAUUAGUUUAGCCGUCCUUGAAAUACCACCCUUUGCUUGUUUGGAGCCUAACCUGUUUUAAUAGGGACAGUGUUUGGUGGGUAGUUUGACUGGGGUGGUCGCCUCCAAAAGCGUAACGGAGGCUUCUGAAGGUUUCCUCAUGACGUUUGGUAAUCGUCAUAAGAGUGCAAUGGCAAAAGGGAGCUUGACUGAGAGACCGACAAGUCGAUCAGGUACGAAAGUAGAGCAUAGUGAUCCGGUGGUUCCGAAUGGAAGGGCCAUCGCUCAAAGGAUAAAAGGUACUCCGG
rnacentral:rRNA from 1 species